CCUGCUCAGGAUGAACGCUAGCGGCAGGCUUAACACAUGCAAGUCGAGGGGUAACAGGGAUUAGUUUACUAAUUUGCUGACGACCGGCGCACGGGUGAGUAACGCGUAUACAAUUUACCUUUUACAGGAGGAUAGCCCAGAGAAAUUUGGAUUAAUACUCCAUGGUAUUAUCGGAUCGCAUGGUUUGAUAAUUAAAGUUUCGGCGGUAGAAGAUGAGUAUGCGUCCUAUUAGCUAGUUGGUAAGGUAACGGCUUACCAAGGCGACGAUAGGUAGGGGUCCUGAGAGGGAGAUCCCCCACACUGGUACUGAGACACGGACCAGACUCCUACGGGAGGCAGCAGUGAGGAAUAUUGGUCAAUGGAGGCAACUCUGAACCAGCCAUGCCGCGUGCAGGAAGACUGCCCUAUGGGUUGUAAACUGCUUUUAUACAGGAAGAAACUUAUCCACGUGUGGGUAACUGACGGUACUGUACGAAUAAGGACCGGCUAACUCCGUGCCAGCAGCCGCGGUAAUACGGAGGGUCCAAGCGUUAUCCGGAAUCAUUGGGUUUAAAGGGUCCGUAGGCGGGCGAUUAAGUCAGAGGUGAAAUCCCACAGCUCAACUGUGGAACUGCCUUUGAUACUGGUUGUCUUGAGUUACAGUGAAGUAGAUAGAAUAUGUAGUGUAGCGGUGAAAUGCAUAGAUAUUACAUAGAAUACCGAUUGCGAAGGCAGUCUACUAACUGUCAACUGACGCUAAGGGACGAAAGCGUGGGGAGCGAACAGGAUUAGAUA
rnacentral:rRNA from 1 species